rnacentral:rRNA from 1 species
GACGAACGCUGGCGGCGUGCCUAAUACAUGCAAGUAGAACGCUAAAGGAGGAGCUUGCUUCUCUGGAUGAGUUGCGAACGGGUGAGUAACGCGUAGGUAACCUGCCUGGUAGCGGGGGAUAACUAUUGGAAACGAUAGCUAAUACCGCAUAACAGUAGAUGUUGCAUGACAUUUGCUUAAAAGGUGCAAUUGCAUCACUACCAGAUGGACCUGCGUUGUAUUAGCUAGUUGGUGGGGUAACGGCUCACCAAGGCGACGAUACAUAGCCGACCUGAGAGGGUGAUCGGCCACACUGGGACUGAGACACGGCCCAGACUCCUACGGGAGGCAGCAGUAGGGAAUCUUCGGCAAUGGACGGAAGUCUGACCGAGCAACGCCGCGUGAGUGAAGAAGGUUUUCGGAUCGUAAAGCUCUGUUGUAAGAGAAGAACGAGUGUGAGAGUGGAAAGUUCAC